CAGGCUUCCCUCCAUUUCAGGAGGACUAAAUUUGGCUUCUGUUCAACCAUCCUUCCUCGUUACACAAGGUACCCUGAGGGUCCUUUGAUUUGCUGUGGAGCUCUGUAUGGCAAGGAAAUAGCACAGGAAUGAGUAGCACCAGUGGAACUUGGUUACUUUCUGGCUUGUCAGUGUCUUGCUACUCAAACCCCAUUGAUUUGGCACCUGCAGAUUAGGUGGCCUCAUGAGUUUGCUUGUAGUGUUGCUGAUUAGCCAACCAUGAAGCACAGAGAGAAACCCAUGACUUCAAGGAAGCAAAUACAGAAGUUUGAGUCAGGACAGAGCAGGAAUUACAGCCAUGGGUGGUGCAAGUUCAGUAAAGGACCAGUGAAAGCUGCUGACUUGGGAAGGGCCAGCUCUAAAGGCAC
rnacentral:lncRNA from 1 species